rfam:Mouse gut metagenome LEAN2_T_FF-aab22e11.b1, whole genome shotgun sequence.
GAGAACUGACAAUCCGAUGGGUGGAAUGACAGGAUAACGCCUUGAAACGCUCACACUGAUACUCCGAUUGACGGCGAUAUGCGACUGCCUAACCGUCAAAAGCUCGGUGAAGUCGGCAGAGAGUGACCGUAAGCGGGAUUUUUUUUUACCGCACGAAACCUGUCCAGAGGUGGGAUGGCGUCACCUAUAUGCCGGGUGUCGGAUAC